UUCCCUACGGGGCGCAGCAGUGAGGAAUAUUGGUCAAUGGUCGGGAGACUGAACCAGCCAAGCCGCGUGAGGGAUGAAGGUACAGAGUAUCGUAAACCUCUUUUGUCAGGGAACAAAGGCGGGGACGUGUCCCCGGAUGAGUGUACCUGAAGAAAAAGCAUCGGCUAACUCCGUGCCAGCAGCCGCGGUAAUACGGAGGAGGCGAGCGUUAUCCGGAUUUAUUGGGUUUAAAGGGUGCGCAGGCGGAAUGUCAAGUCAGCGGUAAAAUUUCGGGGCUCAACCCCGGCGUGCCGUUGAAACUGGCG
rnacentral:rRNA from 1 species